ACAACAUUGUAUGUUUGUCACUGUUGAGGCUAUCAAAAUGCAUCCCCACAAAGUAAGGCUAACAUAUUUGGGUCUUUGUACUCCUAAUUCCAUUUGUAUGAUGAUUAUAUAAUUUGACAUGAAACACCUGUUGCUAUAAUCCACUCCAAUUCAUGAACUUUUUGACCUCAUCAUAUAACACUAAAACAGCUGCUGCACCAGCACUUCUGAAAAUAUUUGACAGAGCUCCACGGUAAAAUGAAGUAAAUCCUUCUGUCUUGUAAAUCCUCCGCCAACAAUCAAAUGUGCUUCUGUACAUUGGCUUUUCUAAGCCAGAUUGCAUCAUCA
rnacentral:misc_RNA from 1 species